GCCCAGAUGGUGGAAUUGGUAGACACGCAGCGUUGAGGUCGCUGUGCCGAAAGGUGUGGAGGUUCGAGUCCUCUUUUGGGCACCA
rnacentral:tRNA from 2 species